AAAAUACGGGAGGCAGCAGUAGGGAAUAUUGGUCAAUGGUCGAAAGACUGAACCAGCCAUGCCGCGUGCAGGACAGACGGCCCUAGAGGUUGUAAACUGCUUUUAUAUGGGAAGAAUAAGGAGCACGUGUGCUUUGAUGACGGUACCAUAUGAAUAAGCAUCGGCUAACUCCGUGCCAGCAGCCGCGGUAAUUUUU
rnacentral:rRNA from 1 species